GUAGGUGGCAAGCGUUGUCCGGAAUUAUUGGGCGUAAAGCGCGCGCAGGCGGUCCUUUAAGUCUGAUGUGAAAGCCCACGGCUCAACCGUGGAGGGUCAUUGGAAACUGGGGGACUUGAGUGCAGAAGAGGAAAGCGGAAUUCCAAGUGUAGCGGUGAAAUGCGUAGAGAUUUGGAGGAACACCAGUGGCGAAGGCGGCUUUCUGGUCUGUAACUGACGCUGAGGCGCGAAAGCGUGGGGAGCAAACAGGAUUAGAUACCCUGGUAGUCCACGCCGUAAACGAUGAGUGCUAAGUGUUAGGGGGUUUCCCGCCCCCCUUAGUGCUGCAGCUAACGCAUUAAGCACUCCGCCUGGGGAGUACGGCCGCAAGGCUG
rnacentral:rRNA from 1 species